GUACCUUGUGAGAAAGUCACGGCUAACUACGUGCCAGCAGCCGCGGUAAUACGUAGGUGACAAGCGUUGUCCGGAUUUAUUGGGUUUAAAGGGAGCGUAGGCGGAUUGUUAAGUCAGUUGUGAAAGUUUGCGGCUCAACCGUAAAAUUGCAGUUGAUACUGGCAGUCUUGAGUGCAGUAGAGGUGGGCGGAAUUCGUGGUGUAGCGGUGAAAUGCUUAGAUAUCACGAAGAACUCCGAUUGCGAAGGCAGCUCACUGGAGUGUAACUGACGCUGAUGCUCGAAAGUGUGGGUAUCAAACAGGGUUAGAUACCCUGGUAGUCCACACAGUAACCGAUGAAUACUCGCUGUUUGCGAUAUACAGUAAGCGGCCAAGCGAAAGCAUUAAGUAUUCCACCUGGGGAGUACGCCGGCAACGGUGAAACUCAAAGGAAUUGACGGGGGCCCGCACAAGCGGAGGAACAUGUGGUUUAAUUCGAUGAUACGCGAGGAACCUUACCCGGGCUUAAAUUGCAAAUGAAUUAUGGGGAAACCCAUACGCCGCAAGGCAUUUGUGAAGGUGCUGCAUGGUUGUCGUCAGCUCGUGCCGUGAGGUGUCGGCUUAAGUGCCAUAACGAGCGCAACCCUUAUCUUCAGUUACUAACAGGUCAUGCUGAGGACUCUAGAGAGACUGCCGUCGUAAGAUGUGAGGAAGGUGGGGAUGACGUCAAAUCAGCACGGCCCUUACGUCCGGGGCUACACACGUGUUACAAUGGGGGGUACAGAAGGCAGCUACCUGGUGACAGGAUGCUAAUCCCAAAAGCCUCUCUCAGUUCGGAUCGAAGUCUGCAACCCGACUUCGUGAAGCUGGAUUCGCUAGUAAUCGCGCAUCAGCCAUGGCGCGGUGAAUACGUUCCCGGGCCUUGCACACACCGCCCGUCAAG
rnacentral:rRNA from 1 species